rnacentral:lncRNA from 1 species
UGGAGGUUCUGGAAGGUCAAGAUGAAAGCGAGGCGACUGCCUCUGGCUUGACUGAGGACAGUGAUCACGCUGAUUCAAUAGUUAGUAGUAGCAAUACCCUCGUUACUGUUGAAGGAGAGAGUGAAUUUUCUGAGAAGUACAAGGAUGAAGAGUUCAAGGAUUUAAGUCCAGAUUUAGACGUAGAACGGACUGGUAUAGAUGAAGAGUACAAGGAUUUAAGUCCAGUGGAAGCUUCUAUACCUGAUGAGAGCUUAGUUGAGGUGUUUGAUGAGGAAUCACUAGAGGAAACUUCUAAGGUUACUUGUACGA